CGGGGUCAGGGCAGGGGGCGGGCCGGGCAGACCGCCAUCCUCGGCGCUUCUUUCCCUUUAUGGGAAAAGUAUGCGCGGGGGCUGCCCCGACGCUCCGUGGCCCCGCGCUGUUGCCGUGCCGGAGUUUGGCGCUGCCCGCCGGGCCCGCAGCGCCGCGCGGAGCCGCCCGUCCCGCCCCGCAGCCCCUCGUUGUGCCGCCAUGACGGGCAGUAAUAUGUCUGAUGCUCUCGCGAAUGCAGUGUGUGAACGCUGCCAGGCUCGAUUUGACCCUGCAGAGAGGAUAGUGAACAGCAACGGGGAGCUCUACCACGAGAACUGCUUUGUCUGCGCUCAGUGCUUUCGUCAGUUCCCAGAUGGACUUUUUUAUGAGUUUGAAGGUCGGAAGUACUGUGAGCAUGACUUUCAGAUGCUGUUUGCUCCUUGCUGUGGGGAAUGUGGUGAGUUCAUCAUUGGCCGUGUUAUCAAGGCAAUGAACAAUAACUGGCACCCAGAAUGUUUCCGUUGUGAGCUUUGUGAUGUGGCACUUGCUGACCUGGGUUUUGUGAAGAAUGCUGGCAGGCACCUGUGCAGGCCGUGCCACAACCGUGAGAAAGCAAAGGGGCUGGGCAAGUACAUCUGUCAGAAGUGCCAUCUGAUCAUUGAUGAGCAGCCUCUGAUGUUCCGGAAUGAUUCCUACCAUCCAGAUCACUUCAAUUGCACCCACUGUGGGAAGGAGCUGACUGCUGAUGCUCGUGAGCUGAAGGGAGAAUUAUAUUGCUUGCCCUGCCAUGACAAAAUGGGUGUCCCCAUCUGUGGAGCCUGCCGCAGGCCCAUUGAGGGGCGGGUGGUCAAUGCCCUGGGAAAGCAAUGGCAUGUUGAGCAUUUUGUUUGUGCCAAAUGUGAGAAGCCAUUCCUGGGACACCGCCACUAUGAGAAGAAAGGUCUGGCUUACUGUGAAACUCACUAUAACCAGCUCUUUGGAGAUGUCUGCUACAACUGCAGCCACGUGAUAGAGGGAGAUGUGGUAUCAGCUCUUAACAAGGCCUGGUGUGUGAACUGCUUCUCCUGCUCCACCUGCAACAUCAAGCUCACACUGAAGAAUAAGUUUGUGGAGUUUGACAUGAAGCCUGUGUGCAAGAAGUGCUAUGAGAAAUUCCCACUGGAGCUGAAGAAACGCCUGAAGAAGCUGUCAGAGCUGGCGUCCAAGAAGGCACACCCCAAAGCCCUGGAUUUAAAUUCUGCUUGAACAGGACCACAGCAGAACAUCAGGAGCUCCCUCUGCUUGUACCCAGCACUGCUUUUGCCCUGGUCCUCAUGCAGUUCCAGAGAGAAAGGUCAUCUCAGCAAGGCAGCCAAACUGAGAUUCAGCUCAGAAAGGCAAGUUUUGAGAAACUAGAGAGAGCAAUGACUGGUGCUGGUCAGCCACAGCUUUCCCUGAUGCUAGUGAGUACUGCAGGUACGCAGCACAUCUCCUGGGCAAAGCUUGAGAGCAAACAGGCUGAAUCUGGCAGUGUGCAACAUGCAGUUUGCUACCACCUUAGCAAAGCAGCAAGAAAGCCUCUAUCCUCUGCCAGCUUUCAGUACUGCUUAUGUACCAACAGACUGAUAGAAACUGUAUCUCCUUCCAGCUUCUUCAAAGACUCAGAGUCAAGGCUGUAGCCCCCCAGAAAGACAGCAGCAGUAACCACCUGCUUUGUUUCCUAUUCUUAAAUAUUGUUGCUUAGGUGGUAUGGGAAGGAAGCAAGAGAGGCAGUCUGGCAACCCUGCCCUAAUUGAGAAGUUACCUUGUCUGCAAUCUUGACAAAGAGGCUGAAACCUUCCCAAGAGCUCAGCUGCAGUUUGGAAGCGAUGUUCUGACACAGAGUCCUGUUCUUGGUGUUUGUUCCCACAUCAAAUGUCUGUGAGACAAUAAGACUUUUGUUACACGGUGGAGGGGAAUAAGUGAGAACACUGAAUAUCUUGAAAUAUGCCCCUGCAGGAAUACGUGUUGGCUGAGAAAAUAUGUUCUCACCUGCUCUGUUUCAUUGGGGAAGCAAAUCUUGUGUGAGACCUUAGUGUUGUUCUGUAAGAUGGCCUCAACCUCCACAGGAUGAGGUGCCCACUUCCUGGAGCCACUCCUGCAAAAUACCACCACAGAUGUAAGAGAGAUCAGCACUAAGAAUUAAUCUUUGAGGAGUUCAACAGUAUUUCAUCCAAACAACAGAUUCCACAUGAAAUGCUCAGUGCUGUGCUGUGUGGGAGGCUCUGAUGGACCUUCACCCCUGUGCAAAUUCAUUCUAUUAGCAGCAAGAAACAGAAGGGAUUAUUAGCAGGUAUCUUGAAUGCCCAGCUCUGCCCGGAGGCUGGAUGAACAAGGCACCUUCCCAACCAGUACCAUCACCCCUUCUCUGUAUUCAGCAAGUUUUUCUUACUGAAGUGUGAAGACAGUGGCCACAAGGAGCACUACGCUGUACUUUAACUCUUGCACCAGCUGAAAGAUUUGCAAACAGAUUCAAAAUGAAUAUUGCAGCUCAGAAAAGUGCAGACAGCUGCAAGAAGCAUCAGAGCUUACACAGGAGCUGGCAGAAAACCAACAGAGCCACAUCAGCACUCUGCAGAUCUCGGUGACUUCAGUGGUGUUUCUCACUGAGUAACAAACUCAGAGGAUGCUGAGGUACAACAAAAUUCAAUCCUCAGACACAUGGCAGGGAUAAGGAGAUACUACGUCACCAAAGGAAAGCAAGGACCUCUUCCUUGAUAGCUGCCACAAAUAUCUGGUCAGUGACUUCCACGGAGGAGUGUGUCUGCUUUGAGGGGUAGUCCCCCAUGAAUUUCAUGAUGGGUGACUGCAGUUAAGGACAAAAGCAGGACAAUUUGAAAGGUUGUUUACCUGUCCGUAGCCAGAUGUUCUGGACAGCAAAAAGCCACAUUGGGCUAGAGACUGAGGAAGAGAGAACAGGAUCAGAAAAAAAUACCAGGAGAGUAGAGAGAUAACAGUGCUCAACUGUGACUGCCAUCCAGGAGAAGAAAGAGGAAGGUGCAGCCCAGACCAACAGCAGGACAACACUCAAUAUGCAAAUCCAUACAUUUCCUAAAAUGCCACUUUACAAUGACUGUGUCUCCUUCCUUCUCCCUCUGGUACAACUGUAAGUUUCAAAACAGCCAGGUACCAGGAACAGCACAUUCUGACAGAGGAAGUUUUCAUAUAGCAGAUUUAAAAGGGGUAUUGCCUAUCACGAUGUCUCUGAAAGCCUCCUCUGCACUUUUCUGUGUGUAAAGCAUUAUUGAUAUACUGUGUUCAAAGUCAAAUAUUACAGGUGAAACCAGAACAUUACCUUUGGGAACCUGCUCUCCUCAUCAAUGAGGGAGAUGAUGUUCAUGGGCUUGAGUGCAAUGACUUCCAGAGCCUGGCGGUUGUCAGUGAAGUCAAUGUUAUUCCAGGUAAUGUGCUCUGCAAGGUAUUCCUCUUGCUCUAGCUUGAAGACAUGGUGCACAAAAAACUGCUGAAGGUGUUCAUUUGCAAUGUUAAUGCAGAGCUGCUCAAAGCUGUAAGGGAACAAGAUGGGAACACACAGUCAUCCCUGGACCUUGGCCAGUGCUGCAUUGCUCUAAAGCAUUUGUCCAUAUUCAAUACUUUUCCAGAUAAACUACUGUUAUAUUCCACAUUAAUGAUCGCCACCACUGCACAUUGUCUUAGGAACAUAAGAGAUGCAUUUCCUGCUCUAAUAAAGAUGAGCAGAAAUGAGCCAACUGUUGACUGAGUGUUGCUGGUUAAGCAAGGAAAGAUCUGUUUCAAGGAACUCUAGAGAGAAAGGGGAAAAUAUAACUGUGAAAAUAGCAUGUCAGGGUGAGUGUAUGACCUGUUUUAACUUGCAGUGGCAUUACUGUUUCUUUUAUCAGUUAGUCCUUAACACUGCAUGUGAGUUUCAUUACCUGGUAAUUGCUGUGGCACAAUGUGCACCAGUGAGGCCCCAUGUGGACUGCAGCCUUUGGGGAUAGCAUAAAGUAAUAGGAAAGAACAUUAAAAAUGUAGGAUGGGCUGAACAGAUUAUGUUCUAAAAGUUGGUGAGGAAUAUUAUCUUGCUGAAUGCAAGCAAGGUGCAUCUGUUGCAAUGGAUUGGAAAAGGCUGACUUGCAGAAUUUAGAAAGAAUGAAGGAAGUAGAACAUUUUAAUUGAUUUAUCAAGGAGGAGUUGACAAAGAUGGAGGGAAAUGGAGUGACACAAAUUAUACUGUUUUUCACAGUCAUUUAAUACAAACUUCACUGACUGUAGCAUACCAGCCUCAACACUGCUCACAUGUUGAUGGUGCCCCAUAGCUUCCCUGCUCUGGUCCCAGAGGUUUGUAGACUGCAGACUGUGUGGUGGUACUGAUGAUAUAAUACCAUAAAACUGAGAGAACUGCUGCCUCUGUAGAGAAGGGCAUAUAGAAAUGGUGCUCUGGGACUGAAAACACCAGUAGAAGAGGUAACAGUGGGACAAUAGUAUGCAGACCAGGUGUUUUGCUGACCUGUCCUUAAAAGCAGAGAAAUUAAGUAGUCCCCGAAGAGUGACAGAGGAACACUGAGCAAAACGGAAGCACAGCUGAAAUAGGAAUCAAAACAGUCUCCUUUAUGCUAUGUACAGAAGCAUCCCCAAGAGGUCUUGUUAAAAUGCUAUGGAACGAGGGGAACAUAUAUCUACUCUUCAUGGCUGCCUGCUCAUAGCAGCUUCAUAGACAUCUUCCCUGAGCAAAUUCCUGGGGCUCUGAAAUAGACAUGUGCAAUGGCUGCACCACAGUGAAAACUAAAGGAGAAAGCAGAAAUGUGACCAAGACUAAAGAAAAAUGGUAUUUGGGUUAGAUUGUCAUCAGGGAAACUGAGGGAUGGAACUUUCACUGCUUCUAUGGGAAUGAAAAUAAUAAUGAAAUUUGCUUGUUUUUUGUUUUUUGGGUUUUUUUUUUCCCAUUUACAUCAACUGCUUUUCAGCACCCCAGUGCAAAUGAAUCUAGAGCCUCCUACCUGUUGUUGCUAAAGUUUUCAAACCCAAAAAUAUCCAACAACCCAAUGGACUGACGUGUAUUUUUAGGCUUCUGAGAUGUUGGGUUAAAAAUGGCUGAGUUGAUCUUGUUCACUAUCCAUAGGAAAAUCCGUCCAUAUAUACCCUGGGGAGAAAUUAAAGUGAGAGCCCAUCAUUACAGUCUUUGGACAAAUCUCUCUGCUUCUUCUUGUGUUGAAACAAUGAUUUCAAACUAUGCCUAAAGACCAAGAGGGAACCAGGCCCUCUGGGGUGCACAUUUCUCACAAAAGGCACUUUAACUGGCAAGACAGUCAGCUCUGAAAGCAUCUUUGAAAAGAACAGAUUUAAGAAUCCUUACCUUCACAAAGGCAUCCCUCCCAUCUGCAGCUUGGGCUACAUUCAGGGGCCUGGACACACUUUCUCCUCGAACAAUGAUAGAGAGGUUUGUGAGGCUGUUCUGAAGUUCACUGUAGUCCACCUGGAAAAACAGUCGUGGCAACUUGGUCAUUCCAGGUAGAGAAAAGAGAUCCAGCAAAGAAAGUCUGUCUCAGGAGGAGGGCUGUGACAAACUGCUUGUCCAGCAGUGCUCAUGACGGCAUUCUGUUACCAGAGACUGAAGGGUCUCCUAUCUCAGAAAGAUAUCUACAAUAGUAGCACUUGAGUAUCAACAGAAAGAACAGGAAAUGUCCCUUCUAUGUGCUUCAGUAUGUAAAUGAUCCACAGAGACAUGCUUUGUCACUGUGCUCAGGGAGCAUGGGUGACGAAGGGAACAAGUAGGAAAAGACCAGAGUUUAUUACCUCAAGCAGUUUGGUUGCAAUUGAAAAGUGUGGUGAAUCCAUCACGUCAGAGCAGUCUAAGUUGUCAUACACAGCCGCUGGAAAGAGAGAAGAGUCAUUCUCAUGGUGAAUCGUUUCUGUUGUGGUCGGGAGCUGUGCAGCCUUAUUUCAAUAAGCCUGUACCUCCAGGAAUGUGGCAAAGCAAUACUUUGCCUAAUGGAGCUCCUGGGUUUGAAGAUUUUACUAAUGAAGGUUCUGAUUUUACUUAGGGAUCCAGGCGCAUAUAGGGUCCUCACAGCUCCAGAAUAUCGCACUACAAAUAGCAGCAAAACUGAAGGACUUGUUAGUUUUAAACUGUAGCUAUUGGGGAUCUGGAGAAGUUUUAUCUGACUUCAGAUUUUAUUUUUCUGAAAACAUUUCUUGCCUUGUAUCUAGCUGGUGGGAAAUGUAGACAAAAAAAGCUGCCUAGAUAACAGCUUUCCUUUAUAUAGGAGAGGCCUCAUUUUAGCAGCCAGCAUUAACCCAAAAAACCCACCUGGCACCACUGCAUCACACAGAGGAGAGUCCUUUUCUAAAAUAUGAGCACUUCUGCUGUCCUACUGAUGGGUGUUAUCAGAAUGUCUGAACCGUACCAGUGCUGCAGUUACACAGCUGAAUAUUCACUGUACCCAGCCAAGAGAAUGACUGCAAUCACCUCCACAGAAAGCAUGACUCAGUUCCUCCUCUGUCCUCUGUCUUACAUAGCACUACAGUCAGCAAAUGCAGCAUGGCAUUAUAUCAUCUAGUGAUUCUGUUUGUGUGAUAAGGGUCUAUUUAUAACCAAGGAAACCCCAGAGUGACAAAAUAACAAGAUGGGUGUUUUUCAAAACAUUACCCAGUGUAUAAUGGUGCUUAUCUGCCUGCCCCACCAAGCCUGUCCACCUAACCUUCCAUACUGGGCAGAGAAGCACAAUCUAAUCCUUACAGCUGGAAGCAGAAGCACCUCUAGUCUUUUAAUAUCAAGUCUGAGGAAAGACCAAGCAGAGGCAAUGCUGAGUUUACCUUCAAACUCCACAUUGCCCAGAUGCAGGAUAGCAGCCAGCAGUUUGCUGAUGUCCCAGUGCUCAGAGUCUGAGAACAUGAGGAUCUUCAUCGCCGAGCGGAUGUGGGCGUACUCCUUCGCGUCAUUCCUGCUGUCACAGGACGUGCAGUUGCCCUGCAAGAAUCCACAUUCACAGAUAAUCUUUUCUGGUUUCUCUUCAGAUCGUCUUCAGACAUAAGGACCAGGAUUCUUGGCACUGUUUCUGCUUACUCAUGAUCACCUAAGGUAUACAUACCUAAUUAGCUUUCUCCCUGGCAUGAGAUCCCUUGCAUUCAUCUAAAAUCUGCGCAACUUUGAAAGUGGGGGAUAAUUCCCAUGUGCUUUAUGAUGCCCUUUAUGUUUCUUAAGGCUGAGUUGGACAGAAAGCUUUGGACUGCCUCUGCAGUACACAGGUGGACAUUACAGGAAGCCUCUGGAAACUGACUCACAGCACUUGUAUUACUAAUUCUGGUACUCUUAAGGAAAGGACUGUUGGUACUUGGUACUAUCCAUCCGAAGCUCCUAGUGAUGGUUCUGGUUGCUGGAGGAAACAAAUGACAGAGGGAUAAUAGAGAUAGUUACCAUAGUGAGAUAAGUGUACUCUGAGGCAGUGCCCAGAUUCAGCAUCUUUUUUUGCUCCAGAUUCAUCCCCAUCAGCAUGCAAUAGAAGAUGUGGUAGUUCCUCUCCUCUGGAGCCUGGAAAGAAAGAGGCCAACAUAACCUUUUUGGUACAGGUUUGUAGCACAGGAGCAGGCAGAAUGGAUGUCUGUAAGUGCCCUCACCUGUCGGCAAACUCGGGACUUUUCCAGAAGGAACUGUUCUAUCCGGGCUCCUUCUAUCACACCACUGUGGUUAAAGUAGAUAUCAAUGUAUUUCCCAAAGCGGCUUGAAUUGUCAUUUCGAAUUGUCUUGGCAUUUCCAAAAGCUGAUGGGAAAAGGACAGACAGUACCUUGAUUACUGUAGUUAAUGAAUAUUGUGAGUCUAUUUUUGACGUGCUUCCAUUUUUCUCCUGGUAUUUUGCAUGUUGUAUACCAAAUGCUGACAUACACUAAAGAAUAUCUGAACUGACUUCCUUCUGAAGUGACAGGAAGACAUAUUGUGCAUCCAGAUAGCUGGGCCCUAAAAGACAUACUCAGGUGAUCCAAAUAUGCUCUGUGUCUCUUGUGACUCUUGUGCUCCCUUCAGUUCUGAGACACUGCUACAAUGGGCACUGCCUCCUGCAUCACAACCACUUCUGUGGACCUCAUCAAGACCCAGCAAAAAAGACUAGAGAACUUCUACCCUGCAUCAUUAAUGCUUCAGAGCUUUUAGCUAUGUUAUGCAAAAGCAGUGGCUUGAGGGUCGGUUCCUGAAUUUUUACUCUGAGACAAAUAUCUUGUGAUAAGUGUGAAAUAACCCACCUUCCAGAAUGGGGUUGGCCUCUAGGAUUUGCUGCUCUAUCCAGGAAUGCUGGCCGCUGACAGCUGCCAAAAACUGCAGUAUUAGCUUAGUGCUUUCAGUUUUCCCAGCUCCAGAUUCUCCACUGCAGUAAGAAAUGAGAUCAUUAAGGGUUUGCUUUCUUCUGGUUUUUUUUUUGGUUAGGGAGGCAAAUGGCAGACCAAGGUGAAAUCCUGCUUUAUGCUAUGAAGAUCAGGUUUCCUUUCAUUGAUGGCUAUACAAUUUUAGCUUUUCAACAGCUUAUCUGCUAAAAUGUAAAGUGGUUUUUUUUUUGUUUUUUUUUUUUUUUAACUAAGGUUGAGAACUAAAUUCUCCCUUUGAUUAAAAAUGGGCAAAUCCACGGAAUGCAUUCUGUACCAGUAAAAAAUCACCACCUGCUUUUCUUUAAAAACACAGAUUUUCAGUGUUAGUCUUAGCUGAGGCAACUCAGUUGAUGUGCCAUAAUCACACUGCAAUGAGACUGUUCUCUUACUGAUGACUAGCAUAAUAUGGACACAUGUCCUGUGUUUGUAAGAUAGUUUCUUCCAUCUUCAGAUUAGCAGAGACAGUGUUUCUUGAGGAGAUCUCCAUUUUAAGAAAAUGUAAGUAAUACAAGUAUUGUGUCCACAAGGUAAAAGACAGCAGAACAUCACGCAGGCUCAUAUGUGUAGAAUAUGUCAUCACAGUCAGAGCCUUGUGGAAAACAACAGACCAGAAAUCUCUGGUUUAUGUUCCAGCUUUUGUAGCCCUGACCAAAAAAAAAAAAAAAAAAAAAAAAAAAAA